GGGUGGAUUCUGAAAUCUCUGCCCAGCGAUUCCACCUUUGCAGCCGUUGCUCUCCCUUUGGGUUCUUUCAAGUCUUGCCUGCACAUGUCAGUUCAAGAGGUAUCCAAGGAUCCGAAGGGAGUUUAUAUACAGAAUUUGGAGAUGUCUCUCUGUGGCCCCUCCUUUCUAGAAUUGUCCUUAAUCUCCAGCCAUUUAGCAGCCCCGUACUCUGUCCUCUUGACUCUUCAAAUCACUCAGAAUGCAGCUUUCUUCAUGAACAGCAGAGGGACUCACCCUCAGAGGAAAAAAUAAGGAACCUUGAUCUAUCUUUUCCAUUGGUGUAUCCCCAGGAUCUCUUUCUGGCAUAGAACAAGGCUUCCAAUAAAUAUUAGUUGAUGGAAUAAGUGAAUCUGUAAGAAUGUGCUACAGCUGCAUAUUCAUCUUGAACCACACCUCACUUAUCCAGGCAUCUGGCAGCUUCAGCUAUCUAGAAUGCAACACAAAUACCAUAAAAGCCCUGGAGUUACCAAAAUGCAAGUCACAUGGACCAUGUCUACAAGCACAAGCUUUUUGUUUUUGUAAACAGAGGUGCUCCCUCACUCAGAGAUGAGAGGCUCCUACUGCAGGCGCAGUUCUUACAUGCCCGAUGAGUGGGUUAUCCAACCACAACAGGUUAGUGGCAGGGUUCUGGGAUGGGUGGGGCCGGCUAGAACGUAGUACAUGAACACCAGUGAGAAAGGACAUCUGGGGCCCAGAAGACCAGAAAACACCAGAAGGCAGAUGACAGAACUCCAGGAGAAGGCGGACUGCAGGCUGGGCUUCAGUCCUCUGGGGAUCCUCUGCGGUCCUCUGGGACUAGAGGACAUAGGGGUGAGAGUGAGACUCAGAGGGCACAGAGCAAAGCUUAAAUUAUGCUCCACAGUGCCCUUUUCAUAAACAGGAAUGCAAGGUGCAUUUUAUCAUCCAUUUUUAAAGAGAUUGAUUCAAUGCAGAGGAACAAGCAGAAGAAAUAAAAAUCAACUGUCGUCUUAGAGAUGCCUCCAAGAUGAGCGUGUGAUAUGGCAGGUAUUGGUUCUGCUCGUCCAUUCCAGUGUCAUUAAAUGUGCUUCACAAACAUGA